AUUGAACGCUGGCGGCAUGCCUUACACAUGCAAGUCGAACGGCAGCACGGGUUCUUGCCCCUGGUGGCGAGUGGCGAACGGGUGAGUAAUACAUCGGAACAUGUCCUGUAGUGGGGGAUAGCCCGGCGAAAGCCGGAUUAAUACCGCAUACGAUCUACGGAUGAAAGCGGGGGACUUUCGGGCCUCGCGCUAUGGGGUUGGCAGAUGGCUGAUGAGCUAGUUGGUGGGGUAAAGGCCUAACAAGGCGACGAUCAGUAGCUGGUAUGAGAGGACGACCAGCUACACUGGGACUGAGACACGGCCCAGACUCCUACGGGAGGCAGCAGUGGGGAAUUUUGGACAAUGGGCGAAAGCCUGAUCCAGCAAUGCCGCGUGUGUGAAGAAGGCCUUCGGGUUGUAAAGCAAUUUUGUCCGGAAAGAAAUCCAUGGCCCUAAUACGGUCGGGUGAUGACGGUACCGGAAGAAUAAGCACCGGCUAACUACGUG
rnacentral:rRNA from 1 species